ACGCUCGACACCUACGGGAGCAGCAGUGGGGAAUAUUGCACAAUGGGGGAAACCCUGAUGCAGCGACGCCGCGUGAGCGAAGAAGUAUUUCGGUAUGUAAAGCUCUAUCAGCAGGGAAGAAAAUGACGGUACUUGACUAAGAAGCCCCGGCUAACUACGUGUCAGCAGCCGCGGUAAUCUGAGCGGGCUGGCAAGGC
rnacentral:rRNA from 1 species